GUUCCUGUAGCGCAAUGGAUAGCGCAUUGGACUUCUAAUCCAAAGUUAGUGGGUUUGAAUCCCACCUGGGAUG
rnacentral:tRNA from 1 species